AGGCCUUGUGACUUAUCUAGUCAGACAUGAAGUAGAAUCGACCCGGAGAGAGUGGGCAAGCUACCCCUGCCAUCUGACCACCCUGCUACCCGGGGAUGAGAGAUAGAUUGUUCCGUUCUCACUCAAACCAUUCAGCUUCGGCUGAAGACGUCACACCUCGCGGCGGAUGGCACCUUUGGAAAAGAACUAAGAAAACUCCUUAAAAGAGAGAAAAGUAACUCUUUUAUUUUAUAGCGGGUCGACCCUAAAAAGAAGCGAAACUUAUUGCUGCAAUCUUAGUGUCGUUCGGUACAAACUUCGAUGUCAACAAGCUCUUAUUAGCAGGCCUGCGGGAGCGGUGAGAGAACUUUCCAUCAUUGGAAAACUGGUGGGUGCAUUCCAGCCAGUCGUAUUCCUCUUUUCUCUUUUGAUCCACUUGCCCGGGAGGGAGGUAUUCUGGUUACGGCUAGAAAGUUUGCCCGGGUAAGAAGCUUCGUAGUGGCAUUCCUCCGACGAGCUACCGCCGAAUAAUAAAGCCCAAAAGACUUUUCACUAUCAAAAAGAGGGCAUAUAGCCCGAGUCCUGAAUACAGGAAAGACCGAUUACGACUGUUGCAAGAGUUAAUACCCUUUCCGAGGGAAUCAUACUUUUAGAAAAGGAAUUCCACAUAGCGAAUGGUUAACUGCCAGCCUCUAACUCCUCCGUCUACCAGGAGGAGAGAUCUUUCAUAGCAUAUCGAAGAGACCAAGCACCGAGAUGAGCCCAAAGCAAGCAACAAAGGAUGACCGGGCGACUCUUCUAAAGCUUUGGCUUGCUUCUUAAGCCAAUAAGUCCUGUGCCUGGUAGGUGAAAUCCGUCUGCCCCUUACCUGUCCAUUCAAGCCUUUCAAUAUCUCGUCUGGCCCUGUCUUCUGUCGUACUCUCCUCUAUCGAGAAUUGCUUUCUCGCAACUGUCCUGUGGAAAACGGAUGACACUCUUCUGGUAGCCGUUGUUUGCUUCAUGGGUUUCAGUAUCCUUUUGCUUGGUUAAUUUCUUUCCCCGCUCUACUGACCUUAACUACU
rnacentral:lncRNA from 1 species